AGCGUUGCUCGGAAUUACUGGGCGUAAAGCGCACGUAGGCGGAUUGUUCAGUCAGGGGUGAAAUCCCGGAGCUCAACCCCAGAACUGCCUUUGAUACUGGCGAUCUUGAGUCCGGGAGAGGUGAGUGGAAUUCCGAGUGUAG
rnacentral:rRNA from 1 species